AAGACAUCAACCUUAAAGCCGCGUGCUCAACACCAUACGCCCUCGCCGCUGUCCCACUUUCCCUACUUUCCAACCCCAGUAUCACCUCCUCUGACUCUUGAGCCCAACACGGAUUGACUUGCGACAUAGGCGGGUGGAUUCAUAUGACAGCAAUUCUUUGAUGAAACCUGGACUUGACUAUAAUUUGCCCGAUGAUCCCUAACACCUGAUCGCAGUCCAAUCAGCUGGAAGCGGGCAGGCUGGUCAAGGAUGCGCUGCUGUAUCACUUUUGACAGCUACUGCAGGAGUCACGUGACCAAACAAUUACCUCAUACCUUGUGAGCGCGUGUGUGCGCCUGUGCUCUGUGUAUAUGGAUUUGUGUGGGCGAGCACCAAUAAAACGGUGUGGUGCAGGCGCGCCCAU